UACGUAGGGCGCAAGCGUUAUCCGGAAUUAUUGGGCGUAAAGGGCGCGUAGGCGGUUUGUUAAGUCGGUCGUGAAAGCCCGGGGCUCAACCCCGGAGGGUCGACCGAUACUGGCAGACUAGAGUACAGAAGAGGUAACUGGAAUUCCCGGUGUAGCGGUGAAAUGCGUAGAUAUCGAGAGGAACACCUGCGGCGAAGGCGGCAUCCUGGACCAACACUGACACUGAGGUGCGAAAGCGUGGGGAGCAAACAGG
rnacentral:rRNA from 1 species